AAUCUAAGAAGAGGCGCAAAAGACAUUAGUAGUAGGUGCUAGCUAAUAAAGUAGCGAUGAACAUCUAUGAAAGGGGAUUUUGCCGAAAUUAUAAUAUGCUUUAUCAUAUUAUUUUUGGGUCUUAGUUUAAUAGACUAAGAACUGUCGUAGCAAAUAGGCUACGGAGUGCUUUCUAAGAU
rnacentral:ncRNA from 2 species